UACGGGGGGGGGUAAGCGUUGCUCGGAAUCACUGGGCGUAAAGCGCACGUAGGCGGAUUGUUAAGUCAGGGGUGAAAUCCCAGAGCUCAACUCUGGAACUGCCUUUGAUACUGGGUGUCUUGAGUAUGGAAGAGGUGAGUGGAAUUCCGAGUGUAGAGGUGAAAUUCGUAGAUAUUCGGAGGAACACCAGUGGCGAAGGCGGCUCACUGGUCCAUUACUGACGCUGAGGUGCGAAAGCGUGGGGAGCAAACAGG
rnacentral:rRNA from 1 species